CGACGGCGCACGGGUGAGUAACACGUAUGAAACCUGCCCGUAGCAGGGGGAUAAGCGGAAGAAAUUCCGUCUAAUACCGCGUAACAACCCAUGGAGGCAUCUCUGUGGGUUUAAAGGAAGCGAUUCCGGCUACGGAUGGUCAUGCGUCGCAUUAGCUUGUUGGCGGGGUAACGGCCCACCAAGGCGACGAUGCGUAGGGGUUCUGAGAGGAAGGUCCCCCACACUGGUACUGAGACACGGACCAGACUCCUACGGGAGGCAGCAG
rnacentral:rRNA from 1 species